CGGCGAGUGGCGAACGGGUGAGUAAUAUAUCGGAACGUCGCCCAUUAGGUGGGGGAUACGCCCGGACGAAAGCCGGAUUAAUACCGCAUACGACCUGAGGGUAGAAAGCGGGGGAUCGCAAGACCUCGCGCUAUUGGAGCGGCCGAUAUCAGAUUAGCUAGUUGGUGGGGUAAAAGCCUACCAAGGCAACGAUCUGUAGUUGGUCUGAGAGGACGACCAGCCACACUGGGACUGAGACACGGCCCAG
rnacentral:rRNA from 1 species